CAUGGGCUUGUGCAUCUUUCUGCAACAUUAAAUAGCUAUUCAACUUGCUAUUUGUAUCAAGAUUAGAGCAAUUUAAUUGGAAAAAGAGAAAACCUAGGGAAUCUGACAGGCAGUUAAUAGCCCAUGAAAAAGCCGUAUCCAAACUGUACUUUGAAGGCAUCAGAAAGUCCUGCUUUUGAAUGAUUUCCUUCCCAUUGCAACUCCCAAAUCCGGUCCAGCAAGAGGCCUGACGUUGAGUGGCUCCUCAAGCAUUCAGAUGUGUCUGAGCAAACACAAGAGGCAAUCAAAUUACCUGAACACCGGCCACUUCAGAGUGCUCACUUGAGAUGACAGUUUCAGCUUCAAAAGAGAUGGAGGCACUGAGGCUCAGAGAGGUUACAUAACUUGCUCAGGAUUUAUGGCUGGAGUCAUAUAGACAGAUUAUAGAACAUCGGCACCCCAAACUGCCUUAUCAUCAUCGUCAUCCUCAUCCUCAUCAUCAUCAUUACUACCAUCAUCAUCAUCAUCUUCAAGCCUUCAACAAAACCGAUUCCCCGGUCACAGUCUUCAGGGGGUGGAACUUGAUAAUCUUUCCUCUUUCCCAGGGGAUUCAGGAUGUGCUCUGCCCUUUUGGGGAGCUACUAACCCCAGAGUGUUCCAUUUUCCGCAAUAGCCAAGCGCCCUGUAUAGGGUUACCAGAUAAAAUACAGGAUGCCUAGUUAAGUUUGAAUCUUAAAUAAGCAACAGAUACUAUUUUAGGAUAAGUUUGUCUCAAAUAUCAUACAGAACAUACUUGUGCUAAAAAAUUAUUCAUUGUUUAUCUGAAAU
rnacentral:lncRNA from 1 species